rnacentral:rRNA from 1 species
UACGUAGGGGGCAAGCGUUGUCCGGAUUCAUUGGGCGUAAAGAGCUCGUAGGCGGUUCGGCAAGUCGGGUGUGAAAACUCCAGGCUCAACCUGGAGACGCCACCCGAUACUGCUGUGACUUGAGUCCGGGUAGGGGACCACGGAAUUCCUGGUGUAGCGGUGAAAUGCGCAGAUAUCAGGAGGAACACCGGUGGCGAAGGCGGGUCUCUGGGCCGAUACUGACGCUGAGGAGCGAAAGCGUGGGGAGCGAACAGG